GGAUGUGAGGGCAAUAUGUCUGUGACAUCGGUCACCCCAUUGAUCACCAAGGUUGAUUUGGCUGAUCUGGCCGGCUAGGUGGUGCCCCUUUCCUCCCUCACUGCUCCCUGUGCGUCCCUCCCGAAGCUGUGUGCACGGUCAAAGAGGAUGGCCUUCCCUGCAGAGAUGGACCCGUCUUCAGUCAAGGGUAUCGGAGUAGCUAUGCUCCCCUGCUAGAACCUCCAAACAAGCUCUCAUAAAUGAAUGCACUCCAAUAGGAAGGGCAUCUGUGUGUCAGAAGCCAAGCUGAUAGCAGUGGAACCCUCACCAAUUAAGAUCUU
ensembl:misc_RNA 7SK 7SK RNA